GAAUCCGCCAAGGAGUGUGUAACAACUCACCUGCCGAAUGAACUAGCCCUGAAAAUGGAUGUCGCUUAAGCGGAGUGCCGACACCGGACCGUUUUGGUAAGCAACGACCAAAAUGAGUAGGAGGGCGUGGCGAUUUUGUUCAGAAGGGUGCGACGCAAGUCGGCCUGGAACGGUCGCUAGUGCAGAUCUUGGUGGUAGUAGCAAAUAUUAAAGCGUGAUCCUUUAAGGACGAAGCGGGGAAGGGUUCCAUGCGAACAUUGAUUGGGCAUGGGUGAGUCGUUCCUAAGCCGGGUGGUAAUCGUUCCGACGAUCGGCGAAAGGGAAGUUGGUUAAAAUUCCAACACACGGAUGUGAAGGCGGCAACGCAAAUUGAGGUGGAGACACUAGCAGUGAAACUAGGCAGAGUUUUCUUUUCUGUUUAACCUGUGCUGUACUCUGUGGAAUCCGUUUAUCGGGAGAAACAGGUGCCUAGCGGGAAGAGCGUAGGGGUGUCCCCUGCGUCUAGUAAUUCGCUGAUAGUCCUUGAAAAUCCAUCUGCAAUCUAAUUUCACGCCGUGGCGUACCGAUAACCGCAGCAGGUCCCCAAGGUGAACAGCCUCUGUCUAAUAUGAACAAUGCAGGUAAGGGAAGUCGGCA
rnacentral:rRNA from 1 species